rnacentral:rRNA from 1 species
UACGGAGGGGGCUAGCGUUGUUCGGAAUUACUGGGCGUAAAGCGCACGUAGGCGGUUUACCAAGUAAGGGGUGAAAUCCCGGGGCUUAACCUCGGAAUUGCCUUUUAGACUGGUAGACUUGAGACCGAGAGAGGUAAGGGGAAUUCCGAGUGUAGAGGUGAAAUUCGUAGAUAUUCGGAAGAACACCAGUGGCGAAGGCGCCUUACUGGCUCGGCACUGACGCUGAGGUGCGAAAGCGUGGGGAGCAAACAGG